rnacentral:lncRNA from 1 species
AGUACAUGUCUUUAAGCACUAUACUUUUAAACACGUUUAAGAGAACUCUUCCCUUCAAUACAACUAAGAAGAAUCAGUAUUUUGCAUGCCAGAGGAAACAUAAGAAGUUGUCACAAUAAUUCAAAACCCACACAGGUCAUAAGAAUUGAAACAAGCUCCCAUGAUGGUUCAGUGGUUAACGAACCUGACUAGCAUCCAUGAGGACGCAAGUUCGAUCCCUGGCCUCGCUCAGUGGGUUAAGGAUCCGGCAUGGCCAGAGCUGUGGUGUAGGUGGCAGACGCGGCUGGGAUUCCGCAUUGCUGUGGCUGUGGUGUAGGCCGGCAGCUACCGCACUGAUUCAACUCCUAGCCUGAGAACCUCCAUAUACCACAGCCCUUGAAAAAAAAGGGGGGGGGGGUUAAAACAAAGCAAUCAUAAUAGCAGUCGCAGGUCCUGGGCAGUUUCAAGGGCGGGAGAGAGCCCCAUUGCUGCACGCGUGACACAUGCACCUCACAGGCCUUACAUCACCCAGCAACCUCACGAUGGGAUGGCCUUAGGACAUUGACACAAUUUGUUGGAGGUGAAAGUGGGCCCGGGUCACAUUCCACAACGGGGCCACCGUCACACAGCCAAUAAGGAGUAAUGCCAGGCUGGCACCCUGACACCGACCAAUUCCAGGAUCCAUCAGAAAAGGAGACAUCAUUCCUCCAGUUAAGGGACCAAGUAAGGAGGAAUUUUUGGAGGGAGAAAAAAAGAAUCAAUUUUCUCUCUUACUAUAAGGAAAAUAUGCCCUUUCAGACUUAUUUUUCAAGCAGUGCUGUUACCGCUCAGGUGGGUCCUACCUGAAGCCUUAUCGAACAAACAUUAUAAUUAGAUCCGCUAAUAUGUUGCCACAACAAAUCUGGAAGGAGAAACCUGACUGUUCUUUUGAGAACACAAAAUGGUCCUUUCAAAUUAAGUAACAGUAACAAGCGGUGAGGAGUGUGACUCCGGGAAGAGGCGCCUCUGUGUUUGAACAGUGACGAGCGCCGCCUCCCCACCCCCCAACCCCAGUCCUGAGCCGCCCCCGACCCCCCUCUGCCCUCAGCUUCUCCAGGAUGGAAACCCCUUGCAUUCAGGUCACGCGGGGCCCGGGUCAGUACUGACAAGACACUGUGCUUCCAGGAAGCUCGAGAAGCCCUCCGCUCAGCACAUGUCCUUUACUCGGUUACACGAAGGGAGAAAAUAGUCGGGUCUUCCCCUCUCAGAAUUCGACCUCCCCUUAACAUUUCGAGGGGCCGGAGCACCAACCAGGUUCCAGUUAAAAGUCAGCCACCAGCCUCACAUCCCAGGACAACCUCAGACCACUGUGUGUGUGUGCGCCCGCAUGUGUGUUCGGCCGCACCCGUGGCAUACAGAGGUUCCAGAGCCGGGGACUGAACCAGUGCUACAGCACUGGAUCCUUAACCUACAGGCCACCAGGGAACUCCUUGACGCGUUCUUACUUAACCAUUGAUAAACUCAUCACAAGGCAUCAGAUGGUGUUACCAGCUAUGAAGGGAGACACCAGGCAUUUAAGAAAGAAAACAGCAGGGUGGCAGGGAGGGAGACACUCAGAGCUGGGAGAAGGCCACUAAGAAACCUGCCCCAGUAUUCACCUAACAAGCUGCCCGACAGCCCAGCCUCGGGACCAGGGCUUGGUCACACGCAGCAAGUGAAAGUCUCGCCGUGUCCAGCAAAUCCCAGCAAACGCAUGUUUAGUUUAUUCAUAGUCAAAGGUGCACAUGGAUCAGUGUGGACGUGAGAGAGAAGCCAGACCCACACUGAGAUAUACACAGAGAGAGGGAAGGCAGAGAAAGUCAAGCUAUGUGAAGCUCCGUGGUUCCACCCCUCCAACCGGUGUGCCUGGGCACACUCAGGACAAGGGUGGCAACAGCCACUCCCCAGGAGUUGGCAGCCAGGAGCUUCAGUACAAGGCUCCUGCUGAAGUGAGAGGUUGUAAAGUUUAACAAAGAGCGUAUGCGUGUGUGUACGUGUCUACAAAACAACCUACCUCUCAAAUAGCCUUAUGCACCAUCUGCCACUUCAUCGGGUGGGUCCAAUUCAGAAACAACAACCUGUCCCGUUGCUGUGGGAGGAGCAUCCCCAAAACGGUAGCUUCCCAAGGGAUUCUCGAGCGUGACUCUAACUGUUGUGAUUAUCACCAUCCGUGCCAGUGAGAACCAAACCUCUACAAAGACACAAAGGGCUCUAUGCCACUAAGUAGUGGACACUGGUGUGCUAAAAGGACAAUGACAAUGACAUAAAGUCUUAACAGAUAUUUAUCCUACGUAAUCCAUAUCUGCCUGAGGCAGAUGCGACCAGCAGCGCUUCUGUCUGCACAGAGGAAGGACCUGUCAGCAGGGAUACGGACAAGCUCACCAAGACCUCAUGAGGGCAGAACCAAGCCUGCAAUCAAAGCCUUUGGAGUCUUCCAGGCAGAUGGAUGGACCUUAAACCCAACGAAACUCCUCCUCCACCCAAUUAAGUGCCCCACCAGUGUCAGGGCCAGGAAGAAGGCCAGGUCAGUUAUCAGCAUUCCCAGACAGACCAGAGGCAUCUCUUGAGGCCACCAACGCCUCAAGCAAAAGGCCAUUCAUUCAAAGCUCGGCAGGACCUCUCACAGGAACACAAAACGCCACCCAAGGCCACAGAACAAUGUGUCGGAGAAACAGAGGCAAGAAGAAACCUGAAGGUUUACUGUGCUUUUCAGGAAUGGGACUUAUUUUCAUUAACCCUACUGCUUGAACCUGAACUUACAGCCUUCUUCAAAGUACCCAUCUUCCUCCUCCAGCGUCCACGCCUGACCUAAAAGGCCCCCGUGUGAUGUCCGGCUGAACCCUUACCCCCAUCCUGCUGGGAAGCAACAUGCACAUGAUCAAUGUCUGCUGUACUUCAUCCUUUGAGAAAGCAGCCCCUGAAGAGGUAAAAAACUGGCAAGAGCGUCUUUUUCUGGUGGGCGCCGUGAGACUGAUUAGUCUCUGGGAAUCAGGCAAGCCAGCCACAGUGAACAGAACUGAACUCCUGGUGUCCACGCUCUUCCCCCUGAGAUUCAGCAGCCUAGUGCUCCUGGACAGCCGGCCGCUGUCAGGACAGGAGAGAAGAAGGCUAGAAACGUCCACACGCACAGGAUUCGAGGUCCGGACUGAGUGUGAGGGCCUCCCUCUCCUGAAAGUCAGGGCACGGGCAGUUUCCUCCAAGAGCCCCCUCCCUGCCCCUCGCUCUCCCAAAGUGCGUCUCUUGUGAGUGACCCAAAGACCCUCCUGUCGACCGAAGAGUCCAGGUCCUGGAGCUGCUGUAAUCAUCCCAGAGCCAUGGGGCAGACAGACCGGUCUGAUGAUGGAGCCAACACGGCUGAGAGCAAAACUGAGAGACAGACAGACAAGGAAAGAGAGACUAAGAGAGAUACUAACCCAUGGACAAUCACACACCAGCAGAGACAGGCCUAAAGACAGGCCAGGUCCUGAUAGCACCAAGGCCACGGUCAAGCAUUACCUGAAGCCAGAAAACAUCGGUGACAUAAAUCAAUAAACUCCCUUGUAACAGAAAACCGGAUUAACUUUCAGCGUGCCUUGCCUCAACACUACGGCAGUGGUCUCCUUCUGUUUACACCAAUAACGCCUAACGGACCACCAGGCCAAACCAGACCAGAAGAGUUUUGCCCAAUAAUCAUUAGUCCUCUUAAAAGCCACCUAAGGCAUUUUUAUGGGAUUC